rnacentral:rRNA from 1 species
GACGAACGCUGGCGGCGUGCUUAACACAUGCAAGUCGAACGAUGAAGCCGGAGCUUGCUCUGGUGAAUUAGUGGCGAACGGGUGAGUAACACGUGAGUAACCUGCCCUUGACUCUGGGAUAACUGCUAGAAAUGGUAGCUAAUACCGGAUACGACCCUCGGAGGCAUCUCCAGGGGGUGGAAAGAAUUUCGGUCAAGGAUGGACUCGCGGCCUACCAGCUAGUUGGUGAGGUAACGGCUCACCAAGGCGACGACGGGUAGCCGGCCUGAGAGGGUGACCGGCCACACGGGGACUGAGACACGGCCCAGACUCCUACGGGAGGCAGCAGUGGGGAAUAUUGCACAAUGGGCGCAAGCCUGAUGCAGCAACGCCGCGUGAGGGAUGACGGCCUUCGGGUUGUAAACCUCUUUUAGUAGGGAAGAAGCGAAAGUGACGGUACCUGCAGAAGAAGCACCGGCUAACUACGUGCCAGCCGCCGCCGUAA